rnacentral:rRNA from 1 species
GACGAACGCUGGCGGCGUGCCUAAUACAUGCAAGUCGAGCGGACGGAUGGGAGCUUGCUCCCAGACCGUCAGCGGCGGACGGGUGAGUAACACGUGGGCAACCUGCCUGUAAGACUGGGAUAACUCCGGGAAACCGGGGCUAAUACCGGAUAACUCUUUCCCUCACAUGAGGGAAAGCUGAAAGAUGGCAUCUCGCUAUUACUUACAGGUGGGCCCGCGGCGCAUUAGCUAGUUGGCGAGGUAACGGCUCACCAAGGCGACGAUGCGUAGCCGACCUGAGAGGGUGAUCGGCCACACUGGGACUGAGACACGGCCCAGACUCCUACGGGAGGCAGCAGUAGGGAAUCUUCCGCAAUGGACGAAAGUCUGACGGAGCAACGCCGCGUGAGUGAUGAAGGUUUUCGGAUCGUAAAACUCUGUUGUCAGGGAAGAACAAGUACCGGAGUAACUGCCGGUACCUUGACGGUACCUGACCAGAAAGCCACGGCUAACUACGUG